rnacentral:rRNA from 1 species
UACGUAGGGGGCAAGCGUUGUCCGGAUUCAUUGGGCGUAAAGGGUGCGUAGGCGGCGCGGUAAGUCGGGUGUGAAAUCUCGGGGCUUAACUCCGAAACUGGCAUUCGAUACUGCCGUGCUUGAGGACUGGAGAGGUGAGUGGAACUGCGAGUGUAGAGGUGAAAUUCGUAGAUAUUCGCAAGAACACCAGUGGCGAAGGCGACUCACUGGACACGUAUUGACG